rnacentral:rRNA from 1 species
AUUGAACGCUGGCGGAAUGCUUUACACAUGCAAGUCGAGCGGCAGCGCGGUCUUCGGACUGGCGGCGAGCGGCGAACGGGUGAGUAAUACAUCGGAACAUGCCCAGUCGUGGGGGAUAACACUUCGAAAGAAGUGCUAAUACCGCAUACGUCCUGAGGGAGAAAGCGGGGGAUCGCAAGACCUCGCGCGAUUGGAGUGGCCGAUGUCAGAUUAGCUAGUUGGUGGGGUAAAGGCCUACCAAGGCAACGAUCUGUAGCUGGUCUGAGAGGAUGAUCAGCCACACUGGGACUGAGACACGGCCCAGACUCCUACGGGAGGCAGCAGUGGGGAAUUUUGGACAAUGGGGGCAACCCUGAUCCAGCCAUUCCGCGUGAGUGAAGAAGGCCUUCGGGUUGUAAAGCUCUUUCGGCAGGAACGAAACGGCGAGCUCUAACAUAGCUCGCUAAUGACGGUACCUGAAGAAGAAGCACCGGCUAACUACGUGCCAGCCGCCGCUGUAAUAC